UUUAUUUUUCUGUUAAAUUUUUCGGGUUCAUGCACUGGAUAUCAAUCAUCGAGGUGAAAAAAGAAAAAAUGAGCAGUCGCUCAAGCCGUACCAUCUAUGUUGGAAAUCUCCCUGGUGACACUCGAAUGAGAGAAGUAGAAGAUCUGUUUUAUAAGUAUGGGCGUAUUGUUGACAUUGAUCUGAAGCUCCCUCCAAGACCCCCAGGCUAUGCUUUUAUUGAAUAUGAAGACCCCCAUGACGCAGAAGAUGCAAUUUAUUACCGGGAUGGAUAUGACUUUGAUGGCUGUCGGUUGCGAGUUGAGCUUGCACAUAGUGGGCGAUCAUAUUCAUCAUCAGUGGAUCGCUAUGGUAGUUAUGGUGGCAGUAGCAGCAGCCGUGGUCUUCCUAGGCAUUCUGACUAUCGUGUUUUGGUCACUGGAUUACCUCCUUCUGCUUCAUGGCAAGACCUGAAGGAUCACAUGCGUCAAGCUGGUGAUGUCCUUUUCUCUCAAGUAUACCGUGAUCGUGGUGGCAUGAAAGGAAUUGUGGAUUAUGCACAUUAUGAUGACAUGAAGUAUGCAAUAAAAGAACUGGAUGACUCCAAAUUUCGGAAUGCUUUUUCUCGGUCAUAUAUACGGGUGAGGGAGUAUGACUCAAGGCGGAGCUACUCUCGGAGUCGCAGCUGUGAUUCAAGGCGGAGCUAUUCUCGUAGUUCUUAUAUAUCAAGAAGCCCUAGUCGCAGCCGAAGCUAUGGUGGCAGGAGCAGGAGCAUAUCUCCAGAGAGAGAAUAUUCUCACCAAUCUCAGUCAGAAUCUCGUUCAAGAUAUGGACCAUUGCGGCGACCUGGGGACUGCAUGUUAGGAACAUGAUGGCAUGUGGUACUCUAACGCCUGAAACUCUUUUGGUUGUUGAGUGGGUGCAAGACUGGAUCAUUGUAGACAGACAAGUUGCAAUUUAAAAGCUGGAUUACCUGUGAAAAUGCCAUUGGUUCAACUCAUGACCAUACAUCAGUGUAGACAAUUCAUAAUUUCUUCAACAUUAUUAUGACUCGAGAUCAGGAUUCUGGGCUGGAUGUCAUAUCGGUCCAUUUAAGUUCUCAUAUGCUGCUGGAAAAGUAGAUUUAAUGGGAGCUUGUGAUGAUGAGAAAAUUGGAUCCCCGCCAAAAUCCAGAUCUCUAGUUACUUCUGCUAACCAUAAACGCCGCAGUAGGAGUCGGAGUCGCAGCUGGAGUGAUAGAAGCUUAUCACAGUCUCGCUCACCAGCUGCAAGAUCUGAACGGAGCAAAUCUGUAGACUCCUAGGAUCGC